GACAGAGGGGGCAAGCGUUGCUCGGAAUUACUGGGCGUAAAGCGCGUGUAGGUGGACCAGCAAGUCAGGCGUGAAAUCCCUAGGCUCAACCUAGGAACUGCACCUGAAACUUCUGGUCUUGAGUGGUGGAGAGGAAAGCAGAAUUCCUGGUGUAGAGGUGAAAUUCGUAGAUAUCAGGAGGAACACCGGUGGCGAAGGCGGCUUUCUGGACACUUACUGACACUGAGACGCGAAAGCGUGGGGAGCAAACAGG
rnacentral:rRNA from 1 species